CGCUAUCAGAUGAGCCUAGGUCGGAUUAGCUAGUUGGUGAGGUAAUGGCUCACCAAGGCUACGAUCCGUAACUGGUCUGAGAGGAUGAUCAGUCACACUGGAACUGAGACACGGUCCAGACUCCUACGGGAGGCAGCAGUGGGGAAUAUUGGACAAUGGGCGAAAGCCUGAUCCAAACAGUGCCGCGUGUGUGAAGAAGGUCUUCGGAUGUAAAUCAAUUGAAGUUGGGAGGAAGGGCAUUAACCUAAUACGUUA
rnacentral:rRNA from 1 species